UACGUAGGGGCUAGACGUUGUCCGGAAUUAUUGGGCGUAAAGAGCGUGUAGGCGGUCUGUCGCGUCUGCUGUGAAAACUCGGGGCUUAACCCCGGGCCUGCAGUGGGUACGGGCAGACUAGAGUGCGGUAGGGGAGACUGGAAUUCCUGGUGUAGCGGUGAAAUGCGCAGAUAUCAGGAGGAACACCGGUGGCGAAGGCGGGUCUCUGGGCCGAUACUGACGCUGGAGGAGCGAAAGCGUGGGGAGCGAACAGG
rnacentral:rRNA from 1 species